GAGUUUGAUCAUGGCUCAGAUUGAACGCUGGCGGCAGGCCUAACACAUGCAAGUCGGGCGGUAGAGAGAAGCUUGCUUCUCUUGAGAGCGGCGGACGGGUGAGUAAUGCCUAGGAAUCUGCCUGGUAGUGGGGGAUAACGCUCGGAAACGGACGCUAAUACCGCAUACGUCCUACGGGAGAAAGCAGGGGACCUUCGGGCCUUGCGCUAUCAGAUGAGCCUAGGUCGGAUUAGCUAGUUGGUGAGGUAAUGGCUCACCAAGGCGACGAUCCGUAACUGGUCUGAGAGGAUGAUCAGUCACACUGGAACUGAGACACGGUCCAGACUCCUACGGGAGGCAGCAGUGGGGAAUAUUGGACAAUGGGCGAAAGCCUGAUCCAGCCAUGCCGCGUGUGUGAAGAAAGGUCUUCGGAUUGUAAAGCACUUUAAGUUGGGAGGAAGGGCAGUAAAUUAAUACUUUGCUGUUUUGACGUUACCGACAGAAUAAGCACCGGCUAACUCUGUGCCAGCCG
rnacentral:rRNA from 1 species